GGACUACCCGGGUAUCUAAUCCUGUUCGCUCCCCACGCUUUCGCUCCUCAGCGUCAGCUCCGGCCCAGCGCACCGCCUUCGCCACCGGUGUUCCUCCUGAUAUCUGCGCAUUUCACCGCUACACCAGGAAUUCCGUGCGCCCCUACCGGGCUCUAGCCACAGCAGUAUCAGAUGGCGACCCCAGGUUGAGCCUGAGGAUUUCACACCUGACUUACUGAGCCGCCUACGAGCUCUUUACGCCCAAUGAAUCCGGACAACGCUCGCUCCCUACGUAUUACCGCGGCUGCUGGCAC
rnacentral:rRNA from 1 species